CAGUAGCCGCGGUAAUACGUAGGUGGCAAGCGUUAUCCGGAAUUAUUGGGCGUAAAGCGCGCGUAGGCGGUUUUUUAUGUCUGAUGUGAAAGCCCACGGCUCAACCGUGGAGGGUCAUUGGAAACUGGAAAACUUGAGUGCAGAAGAGGAAAGUGGAAUUCCAUGUGUAGCGGUGAAAUGCGCAGAGAUAUGGAGGAACACCAGUGGCGAAGGCGACUUUCUGGUCUGUAACUGACGCUGAUGUGCGAAAGCGUGGGGAUCAAACAGGAUUAGAGACCCGGGUAGUCCCUGUCUCUUAUAC
rnacentral:rRNA from 1 species